rnacentral:rRNA from 1 species
AGGACGAACGCUGGCGGCGUGCCUAAUACAUGCAAGUCGAGCGAAUGAUAAGGAACUUGCUCCUUUGAUUAGCGGCGGACGGGUGAGUAACACGUGGGUAACCUACCCUAUAGACUGGGAUAACUUCGGGAAACCGGAGCUAAUACCGGAUAAUACUUUUGAACACAUGUUCGAAAGUUGAAAGAUGGUUUCGGCUAUCACUAUAGGAUGGACCCGCGGCGCAUUAGCUAGUUGGUGGGGUAAUGGCUCACCAAGGCAACGAUGCGUAGCCGACCUGAGAGGGUGAUCGGCCACACUGGGACUGAGACACGGCCCAGACUCCUACGGGAGGCAGCAGUAGGGAAUCUUCCACAAUGGACGAAAGUCUGAUGGAGCAACGCCGCGUUGAGUGAAGAAGGAUUUCGGUUCGUAAAACUCUGUUGCAAGGGAAGAACAAGUAGCGUAGUAACUGGCGCUACCUUGACGGUACCUUGUUAGAAAGCCACGGCUAACUACGUGCCAGCCGCUGC